UGUUAGUGAACAUCCUAAAAUGCACAGGACAGUCACCCACAAAAAAGUGCCAGUAACUCCAGGUUGAGAAGUCCUACCUUAGAGAGAAAGGAUGUAGUUAAGAGGAGUGAACAACAUUGAGUUUGGGAUAUUUGGUGUUGAGUUAAAGGGAUUGACAUGUUUCCCACCACAAUUGAGAGAGGAGUCCUGAGAAUUCUUCUAAAUGCCUUAGUUAUUAAGGACUAGGACUUUUCUCCAGUUUUUUAUGGAUAUAGUCUUCUCCAGAAAUUGUCAGAGCCAGUGUCUUCCUGCACCUCAGACAAUUAUCUCUGACUCUUGUCAGUACUAAUAACACACAUAUUGAGCGAUUUUCCACGGAAUGAGAGGGGAGGCUAUUGCUUAGGAAUGACUGUUCUCUCUACUUCUGCUAAAGGGGUCUAAUCCUGAUUUCCUGAGGAAGUAGGGUAAAACAGAAUUUCCAAGCAGUGCCCAAUAGGAGGAAAAAGAAUCUGCUGCUGGGACUAUCUCAAAGAUAUAAACUUAUAGGCCAAUUCCUAUGACCAAUUCAUUUCCCAGCUUGAAGUCACUUGUCAUUUGUGUGUUUGUAGGAUCUGUCUCUACCAUGACACUGGGUGAUUGUGGAGGCUAGUUACUAGAAAAGCGGUGAUGGUAUUAGGAAGCAGAUUCAGAAAUGACAAUGUUCAAGCAGAAGCUGGGUGACCAUCUCUAAGCCUGGAUGCCAUAGGAUGAAUGUCCCUAUUGAUCUCCUAGUCACCUUCCAACCACAAAUACUGACUUUAAUCCUUUCAAAGUAAUACAUGAAAUGACAAAAAAUGUCAGAUUGACUUUCUAAAUGAGGUGAGGGGAAGGUGAGUGCAAACGGUUUCUUAAAAGUUUUAUUUCUCUUGACACAUAUUCUGUUUUACCCAUCUGUAAUGCAGGGUAGGCGGUUCCAAUGCACAUUUUAUGAAUUUGAACUUGAAUUGACUCUACUUUUAAAAUAAUAAUGGUAAUGUGUUAAAAGGGUGACAAGAACUCCAGUGGCAAAGUUGAAAGUCUGUGCAUUGACAGCCAAUUAAUAUAAAUAGUAAUUACCAUAACCAAUCCACAUUUGAGAUUGGCUUUUAUUUGGCUAAAUAUGCACUGAGUGCAUUAAAAGGUAAGAGUUAUUCUAUAAUGUGGUGAAUUGCAGUGUUACCUACAGACCAGGACCACUUUGAAAAGCAAAGGCUUUCCUGAGAGGCAGAAGAAAAUACCAGAGCCUCACCUUUGAAUGUGGUCUUUCCAGUGGAGACUCAUUUAUCUUCCAGCAUACACACAAACUUGUGUGUAUUUCCUAUGUUAAAUCUUCC
rnacentral:lncRNA from 1 species